rnacentral:rRNA from 1 species
CCUACGGGAGGCUGCAGUGAGGAAUAUUGGUCAAUGGACGCAAGUCUGAACCAGCCAUGCCGCGUGCAGGAAGACGGCUCUAUGAGUUGUAAACUGCUUUUGUACGAGGGUAAACGCAGAUACGCGUAUCGGUUUGAAAGUAUCGUACGAAUAAGGAUCGGCUAACUCCGUGCCAGCAGCCGCGGUAAUACGGAGGAUUCAAGCGUUAUCCGGAUUUAUUGGGUUUAAAGGGUGCGUAGGCGGUCUGAUAAGUUUGCGGUGAAAUCCCGAGGCUCAACCUCGGAAUUGCCUCUGAAACUGGUGUGCUUGAGUGUAGGUGAGGUAGGCGGAAUGUAUGGUGUAGCGGUGAAAUGCUUAGAGAUGAUACAGAACACCGAUUGCGAAGGCAGCUUACC